GCGGGUAUGGCGUAACGGUUGCGCGGCAGUCUUCCAAACUGCAUACCUCGGUUCGACUCCGAGUACUCGCUCCA
rnacentral:tRNA from 1 species